ACACGGGGCUCCCUCCCCUGCUGGGAGAACAUCUGCAGCAGGAGGAGAAACUGAAGGGGAGAAGACUGCUGCCUGGUGGGGACACCUUGGUACACCGCCUUCUCGCCCUCUCGGCUUCUCUGAAAAGAAGGCUACCGGACAAAGAGGUGGGUGGAGGAAAGAAGAAUGCAAAGGCAACACUGGGGCCGAAGGCUAAGCAGCAGACUCAGGUGGAGUGCUCCCUUUCAAGAACUGCCUCGGGGUUCAUGUUGCAGCAUCAGACAAGAAUGGAAGUCACAGCUGGGGUGCCCCUUCACACCAAGCUGAGCAUCACCCGAUGCUCGAUCGGGUGCCGGAUGCCCAGCAGAUGGCGGGAAGAGCGAUGGCUCCGAGGGGGAAGAGCCACAAGGUCACAGCUGACACAUGAGGGCUGGACUGCAAGGCAGUGAAAGAUUAAUGGUUUCCUCCUUGUCUUGGUGCUCAGUGGAGGCCCUCUCCCCCCCAGCCACCCAUGCGUGGUUCAGUGUGGGGCUGAGCAGCUGCCUUCCUCAGGUUAGCCUCCCUCCACCCACCUGCAC
rnacentral:lncRNA from 1 species